UACGAAGGGGGCUAGCGUUGCUCGGAAUCACUGGGCGUAAAGCGCACGUAGGCGGGGCUUUAAGUCAGGGGUGAAAUCCUGGAGCUCAACUCCAGAACUGCCUUUGAUACUGAGGACCUCGAGUCCGGGAGAGGUGAGUGGAACUCCGAGUGUAGAGGUGAAAUUCGUAGAUAUUCGGAGGAACACCAGUGGCGAAGGCGGCUCACUGGUCCAUUACUGACGCUGAGGUGCGAAAGCGUGGGGAGCAAACAGG
rnacentral:rRNA from 1 species